GACGAACGCUGGCGGCGUGCUUAACACAUGCAAGUCGAACGCUGAGGCCCUGCUUUUGUGGGGUGCUCGAGUGGCGAACGGGUGAGUAACACGUGAGUAACCUGCCCUUGACUUUGGGAUAACUCCAGGAAACGGGGGCUAAUACCGGAUAGGCGCUCCUGCUCCCUGGUGGGGGUGGGGAAGUUGCGUUGGUGGGGGAUGGUCUCGCCGCUUCUCAGCUUGUUGGUGGGGUAGUGGCUUACUACGGCUUGGACGGGUAGUAGGCCUGAUAGGGUGACGGGCCAGAUAGGGACUGGGAUACGGCCCAGACUCGUACGGGAGGCAGCAGUGGGGUGUAUGGCAGAAUGGUCGGAAGCCGGAGGCAGCAACGCCGCGUGCGGGAUGACGGCCUUCUGGUUGUAAACCGCUUUCGCCGGUGACGAAGUGUGAGUGACGGUAAUGGGUAAAGAAGCACCGGCUAACUACGUG
rnacentral:rRNA from 1 species